rnacentral:rRNA from 1 species
GAUGAACGCUAGCGGCAGGCCUAAUACAUGCAAGACGAACGGUAAGUUGAGUAGCAAUACUUAGCCAAGAGUGUCGUACGGGUGCGUAACACGUAUGCAACCUACCCUAUACAGGAGGAUAGCCUAGGGAAACCUGGAUUAACCCUUCAUAGUAUUAUUGGAUGGCAUCAUUUGAUAAUUAAAACUGAGGUGGUAUAGGAUGGGCAUGCGUCUGAUUAGUUAGUUGGCGGGGUAAUGGCCCACCAAGACGAUGAUCAGUAGGGGUUCUGAGAGGAAGAUCCCCCACACUGGCACUGAGAUACGGGCCAGACUCCUACGGGAGCAGCAGUAGGGAAUAUUGGUCAAUGGAUGCAAGUCUGAACCAGCCAUGCCGCGUGCAGGAAGAAGGCCUUCUGGGUUGUAAACUGCUUUUGCCA